AAUAGAUACCCUGGUAGUCCACGCCGUAAACGAUGGAUACUAGCUGUUGGGGGCAACUUCAGUGGCUAAGCGAAAGUGAUAAGUAUCCCACCUGGGGAGUACGAACGCAAGUUUGAAACUCAAAGGAAUUGACGGGGGCCCGCACAAGCGGUGGAGCAUGUGGUUUAAUUCGAUGAUACGCGAGGAACCUUACCAAGGCUUAAAUGCAGACUGACCGAUUUGGAAACAGAUCUUUCGCAAGACAGUUUACAAGGUGCUGCAUGGUUGUCGUCAGCUCGUGCCGUGAGGUGUCAGGUUAAGUCCUAUAACGAGCGCAACCCCUGUUGUUAGUUGCCAGCGAGUAGUGUCGGGAACUCUAACAAGACUGCCAGUGCAAACUGUGAGGAAGGUGGGGAUGACGUCAAAUCAUCACGGCCCUUACGCCUUGGGCUACACACGUGCUACAAUGGCCGGUACAGAGAGCAGCCACCUCGCGAGGGGGAGCGAAUCUAUAAAGCCGGUCACAGUUCGGAUCGGAGUCUGCAACUCGAC
rnacentral:rRNA from 1 species